GACGAGGUGGCCGAGUGGUUAUGGCAAUGGAUUGCUAAUCCAUUGGGGUUUCCCCGCGUGG
rnacentral:tRNA from 1 species